GUGCUCACUUCAGCAGCACAUAUGCUAAAAUUUGAACUAUAUAGAGAAGAUUAGCAUGGCCCCUGCGCAAGGGUGACACACAAAUUUAUGAAGCGUUCCAUGUUUUC
rnacentral:snRNA from 1 species